AUGGAAUCUCAGCUCUUGGCUUGUUCAGUUAGGCGUAACAACUGAGUGGUUUGGCAAGGUCAGUCAUGGUAUCUUCCCAAGGGAAGGGCUGUUUCCCAAGCUCCCACAGAAGUCAAAGGGAAGGGAUGCUCCAUUGUCACCUGGGGACACUUCUGGCUCUUUAUGAAAACAAAGAGUGUAUUUAAAGGAGAGAAGGUUGGCUGGGGAGAAGAUGGCAGAUCCUUCUACCCUUAACUCAAGCUGGGGAGCUCACAAAGUUCUUCAAGGAGUAUAUAGGAGCCUGUGGAGUUUGAGGAUUUUUUUUUUUUGUCUCUCUGGGUUACAGUCUAUGAUAUAA
rnacentral:lncRNA from 1 species